UACGUAGGGUGCAAGCGUUGUCCGGAAUUAUUGGGCGUAAAGAGCUCGUAGGCGGUCUGUCGCGUCGAUCGUGAAAACUUGGGGCUUAACCCUGAGCUUGCGGUCGAUACGGGCAUGACUGGAGUUCGGCAGGGGAGACUGGAAUUCCUGGUGUAGCGGUGAAAUGCGCAGAUAUCAGGAGGAACACCGGUGGCGAAGGCGGGUCUCUGGGCCGUAACUGACGCUGAGGAGCGAAAGCGUGGGGAGCGAACAGG
rnacentral:rRNA from 1 species